rnacentral:tRNA from 1 species
GCCAAAGUAGCUCAGUCGGUAGAGCAGCUGAUUUGUAAUCAGCCGGUCGUAGGUUCGACUCCUAUCUUUGGCU